CAUGCUCAUAUGCAACAUCUUCACAAUCCAUUGGUCUCUCCAACAUCACCACAUUUGAGAUCUCCAACCCCCUCAUCAUUUCUAUUUAUAAAAAAUUUAAAAGGGCGGUUGUCGAUGCAUAUGUCUAUAAUAAAUAUUGCAGAUCUCGUUGAGUUGAUCUUGAUAUAGGUCAGAGUUGGAGGGGAAACCACUUCGCUAACAUAAAUUAAUGGUUUCCCAAGGACAAGCUUAGUGUCCUAAAAUAAGCACUGAUC
rnacentral:lncRNA from 1 species